AGAGUUUGAUCCUGGCUCAGGACGAACGCUGGCGGUGUGCUUCACACAUGCAAGUCGAACGGAGUAGCAAUACUCAGUGGCGGACGGGUGAGUAACACGUGGGAAUCUACCAUUAGAUGGGGGAUAGCAAACCGAAAGGUUUAUUAAUACCGCAUAUGUAUUAACCUCGACAGGGGUGAAUAUGAAAGGAGUAAUCCGUCUGAUGAUGAGCCCGCGCCCGAUUAGCUAGUUGGUAAGGUAAAAGCUUACCAAGGCGACGAUCGGUAGGUGGUCUGAGAGGAUGAUCACCCACAAUGGGACUGAGACACGGCCCAUACUCCUACGGGAGGCAGCAGUGGGGAAUUUUGUGCAAUGGGGGAAACCCUGACACAGCGACACCGCGUGAGCGAAGAAGCCCCUUGGGGUGUAAAGCUCUGUCAACGGGAACGAAAAAAAUGACGGUACCCGUGGAGGAAGCAUCGGCUAACUACGUGCCAGCAGCCGCGGUAAUAC
rnacentral:rRNA from 1 species